UUGUACAUAGAAUUUAUGUUCUAAUAAAAUUCGUUUUCAUUGGUUAAAUUAAGGUGUUUUCCGACAUUACUUGCGUGAUUUUACAGUUUCUGUGCUUGGCUAAUCUUUAUUUCAAGCUUUAUUUUCCAUAAAUAAGAACUAGUUGUUCAAUUACAUGGCUUUUGCGUGGUUGAGAUUCCUAUUGAUAUUGUUUCUAGUUUCUUUUGUUUUCAGGAUCAGGGAAGGAUCAUUCAAGUGGAGAUAUGAACAGUAGGGAUAAUGAUUUAGUGGAGUAUCAAUCUCCUUGCAGGUGUCCUUUUUGCAGCAUACUGGUUGUAUGCAGAAAAGAGGUUAACCAGUUUGUGAUAGACCAAACCAGGAUACAAGUUGUUUACUGCCCAUCCUUCUGGAAUCAAAUAAUGUUCUUCUGUCAGAUGCUGCACUUGCGCAGCUUAUUGCAGAAGUUGGAACAUUGCCUUUUUUUCCAGAAUGAAUAUGCUUUUGAGAACAUAAAACUGGUAUGUGCUCUUUGCUUUUCUCAUUGUCUGCAUCUGUUUGUUGUGAGGAAAUAGUGCCUUUAAUUGACUUUGCUGGAAUUAAGUUCUCUUGACAGCUUUAUUGGAUUUUCCAUGACAUUCCACAGUGCUGGAAUUCUUUUGGCACAAGUAAAUACCUAUAAAUGCUACAGGUGUUUGUACAGCUUUGUGGCCAUGCAGCUUAAAGGUAUUAUGCCCACAAUUAUUUUCAGACUCUGAACUUGCUACUAUCAAAGUUCAUGAAGGAGGCUGUGUUCUAGUGUCAGAAAUGACUUAGACUGGAGGCCAAACCAAAGAAAUUCAGAUACAAGUUCCAGCAGUGUAUCAUUUCUCAGUAUUUCAUUAAGGAUGUUAGAUUGGAAGAUUUCUUCUUCAACAUUAUGUUAGAACUUAAUUUGCAUGAACGCUUAAAUCCUGUUAAUGUUAGCCAUAUAUUCUGCGAACUUUCUCCUGAAAACUCCAUAUUUUCUGAUGGAGUUUACUCGUCUAAGUCUAAACUGAAGCCCUUCAUCUGAUAUUCUUUUGCUGGCUGCAAGGUAUUGAUAAUUUGGUAUGUCCAUGCAGGGUUUGAACCAUUUUCAGAACAAUAGCUGGCGUGGCAGCUUCUUGUGACUAUAAAAUCUCUCUCUCUCUCAACAACCCCCCCCCCCGGGGGGUCUAAUACUUGGUGUGACUUUUUGAAGAAUCUCUCUCCACAUUCUCAAUCUUCUUUAUGUAAUGUGAUAUUUGGUGCGAGAUUUUGUAAUUCAACUUUAUACGAAUAUACUUUUGUCCCUUGCGUCUUGUGGACAACUAUUCAGGUUUCUCAAGUGCUACAACCUUGAAAUGUUUUUGUCUUACUGCUGCAGGUGUUCAAGCUGCCACGUUUAUCUCCUAUCAUCCUUUCCAGUUCCAAACCAAGAAAGAAAAAGAGAUUUCAUUAAGCAAAUUUCAUCUGUUCGAUUUAUCGAAGAGUGCCAGCUUUUGUUUGAUCUAUGUUAGGUCGACCUGAUUUGCCCCAUCUGCAGUAUGCCCCAUAAGAGAUUUCCUGAUGAGAUGGAUUUCCUCUGUGGAAUUUUUUCCAUAUCAUUCACUCUUUCAUUGAUAUUUUAUGUUUUUCAGCUUCUGACUGUGUCUGGCAAUGAAUAUGUGGUAAGAUGUCUUUUUGGCUGUCAAAUAAUUAACAAACCUGCUCUUUUGUUUCUGCUUUUUGUUUACUCUGUAUUAUUGAUGGUUAAUUGCAAAAGGAAAUUUUCUAUUUCACAAGGUUAAGGAAUUGUCAGUUUGAUAUUUCACUUAAUACAUAUACUUUUUGUUGAGUGGUUCUUGCACACAUUUCAUGUGCUCAUCAUACAAUUACGUAAUGUAUACACAUCUCAUCCUGCCAUAAAACUGUAGACAAACUAUCCACAGCUUUACUGUGAGAUUGGGAUGCUCAACAGCAUUGGGUUCAUAAAGCUGUGCUUAGCAUUCUAGUGCAUUGUCUGAAUGGGCUUUGAGAUGGGUUGUAAGCUUGUUGUUUGAGCUUGAGAAGCAUUAUGCAAACAAUUAGAAAGUGUUGCUGAAAUAUAACGGAUUCUUUAGCUUAGUGAGAAGGAUAGCCUUAAUCUGGUUUAGACGUCUUAAUCCAUAUGGAGAUAUUUUCUGUAACAGCUGUUAUUAGUUAAUAUAUGUGUGUGUGUGUGUGGAAAAAAUGUGGUUUACAGCUGUGGGGCUUCGACCGACUCUCAAAUCAUUGUGACGGACUUUUUCCAGGGUUCUGAAAACUUGUUUGCAUGAUUUUUUUUUGUUUUUGUUUUGGUUUUGAUUUGUUUGUCUUUCCUUUUUCCUUUUCUGGUUAGGUGCAGUUAUCCAAGGAAAAAGGAGCAUUGCCAUGUUCCUUGGAUAACUGCACCUAACCAGGAGGAAUGAUGUCUGACGGAUAUUUCAUGCGAGCUCUUGUUAAUUGUUAUUUUCUGGGAUAAACUCACAGGAUGUCAUUUGAUGUUUUAGUCUAAACCGAGCUAAGACAUUAAAUGGCAAGAGGAUCUAUAUUUCGGCUAGCAGCACCAUUUCUGUACCAUGUUGUGCUACCUACCUGCCGCACCAUUGAACCAAUUCACCCAUUUCUAGUGCAGUGAUAAGGAGGAUGCAUUUGGUAUGGGGUUUAUAUGUUGUAUUGUGACAAGUAGCACACUGAGGAUGAUGCCUUGUAAUUUUUGAAUUCUCGUAGUUGUGAGGUUUAGCUCAAUUUGACAGGUUUUUUUUUCUGCUCUUAUAUCGUAUUCACCCCUUUUAUGUGUAAUUUGGUGAGUAAUUUUUGUGUUCUUAUAGUUGAGUUUAGUCUGUGGUUGACUAUUACUCC